rnacentral:rRNA from 1 species
GGGGAAUAUUGGACAAUGGGCGCAAGCCUGAUCCAGCAAUGCCGCGUGGAUGAAGAAGGUCUUCGGAUUGUAAAGUCCUUUCGGCGGGGACGAUGAUGACGGUACCCGCAGAAGAAGCCCCGGCUAACUUCGUGCAGCAGCCGCGGUAAUACGAAGGGGGCUAGCGUUACUCGGAAUGACUGGGCGUAAAGGGCGCGUAGGCGGUUUGGACAGUUAGGCGUGAAAUUCCUGGGCUCAACCUGGGGGUUGCGCUUAACACAUCCAGACUUGAGUUUGGAAGAGGGUCGUAGAAUUCCCAGUGUAGAGGUGAAAUUCGUACAUAUUGGGAAGAAGUCCGGUGGCGGAGGCGGCGACAUGUUCCAUUACUGACGCUGAGGGGCGAAAGCGUGGGG